rnacentral:rRNA from 1 species
GCACAGCCCUAAACUCUGAUAAAAACCUACAUUUAUUAUCCGCCAGGGUACUACGAGCUCUAGCUUAAAAUCCAAAGGACUUGGCGGUGCUUUAGACCCACCUAGAGGAGCCUGUUCUAGAACCGACAACCCCCGUUAAACCUCACCCUCCCUUGUUUAUUACCCGCCUAUAUACCGCCGUCGUCAGCUUACCCCAUGAAGGACUUAUAGUAAGCAAGACCAGUAAAACUCAAAACGCCAGGUCGAGGUGUAGCGCAUGAGAGGGGAAGAAAUGGGCUACAUUCCCUGACUUAGGGUAUACGAAAAAUACAAUGAAAAAUGUGUUAGAAGGAGGAUUUAGCAGUAAGAAGAAAACAGAGUGUUCUACUGAAACUGGCCCUGAAGCGCGC